rnacentral:rRNA from 1 species
GAUGAACGCUGGCGGCGUGCCUAACACAUGCAAGUCGAGCGAACUCUUGGUAGCUUCCUCCCCAUAGUUAUCGGCGGACGGGUGAGUAACACGUGUGCAACCUGCCUUUAAGAUUGGGAUAACUUCGGGAAACCGGAGCUAAUACCGGACAACAUUGAAGAUCACAUGGCCUUCAAUUAAAAGUUGGCUCUUACCUACCACUUACAGACGGACCCGCGGUGCAUUAGGUAGUUGGUGAGGUAACGGCUCACCAAGGCGACGGUGCGUAACCGAGCUGAAAGGGAGGACGGCCAAAAUGGGACCGGGAACACGCCCAGGAUCCUACGGGGAGGAACAGUAGGGGAACAUCCGAAAUGGGCGGAAAUCUGACGGAAGCAAGCCGGCGGGGGGGAGGAAGCCCUCGGGUCGUGAGGCUCUGUUGUUAGGGAAAGAAAAGUAGCGUGCGAAUACGGCGCUGUCUUGACGGUACCUAAACAGAAAGCCACGGCUAACUACGUG